rnacentral:lncRNA from 1 species
UCUAUAUAUAUAUAUAUUGUUUUAUAAUAUAUUAAAAUAUCUUAUAAUAUGAUUAAUAAUAAUAUUACUUUUAUAAAUUUAUAUUUUAUGAUAUUUAUGAUAUUGUAUUAUCUUUCUUUUAUAAAUUUAUAUUUAUAUGUUAUCCUAUAUAUACGAUAUAAUAUAAAAUAUAUCAUAUAAGGUAAUGAAUUGAUUAAAUAUAAAAUGUUCUAAAAUAUAUAGUCUUUAAUUAUUUAUAUAUAUUAUUUUUGAAGUAUUUUUAUAUAACAUUAUUGAAGUAUGUUAUGUAAUAAUAUUGAAGUAUAAUAAUAUAAUAAUAUGAUUAUAAUUGUAGUAUAUAUAAUAUUUUAAUUAUAUUGCAUUUUAGAAAACAUAUUACUUUUAUGUGCAUUGUACAUAUAUUAACUAUUCUAGAUAUGAGAGAUAUAGAUAAGGGCAAACUUUAUAUUUUUAAAAAUUUUAAUCCACCUUUUGUACUAUUCUUCAUUUUUUUUAAAUAAAAUUACCGAACACAAAAUUUCUUUUGUCCCUCUAUAUCCUAGAAUAACAGGAUCUCCCAAGAAUAAAAAUAUGUAUUCCUUAAAACACUGUUCCGUUACCAAAUGCAGCCUUAGUUGUAUAGUAAAUAAAUCAACCAAGCAUGAAUGCUCUUUGAAUGAUCUAGGCACUUAGCCCUUGUUUGGUUGGGGGUUAAGGGGUGGAAUAACCCCUUAACCUCCAUUUUAUCCCCAAGCACCCCAAAAAAUGGGUGGGGUUAGCUAACCCCACCUAACCCCAUCUCAAAUAAAUUAUUCCGGGUUAGCUAAUCCCACCUAACCCCACCAAACUCCAACCAAACACUAUUUUCUAUUCAUAAUAACCCACUAUCUUUCUUAUCAUACCUACUCCAACCAAUCAUUAUCCUUCUUUAUCAAUCAUUAUCUUCUUAUCCCAUCUACUCCAACCAAACACUAUUUUUCAUUAUUCUAGACUAACUCCAACCCCCAACCAAACACAAAAAAAUUUUAACCCAUUUUAACCCUGAACUUAACCCUAUCUCUGGAAUAGCUACUUUUUCCUUAACCCCGAACCAAACGGAGGCUAAGCCUGAACUUAACCCUAUCUCUGGAAUAGCUACUUUUUCCUUAACCCCGAACCAAACGGAGGCUUAAGGUUUUUCUUUUUUUGUAAGUUUCCUCUCUUAUCUGAUAUUUUUCAUUUUUGGUAAUCAGAGCACUAAAUUAACAAAUUAACUGAUAUUGUGCUGAUAAUAUGCUACGUGUUUCUACAUAUCAUCCUUGGCGGCCUUGCAAUUUUUUUAUUAUGGAGUUUAGAAGUAACCAAGCAUGAAUGCUCUUUGAAUGAUCUAGGGUUUUUCUUUUUUUGUAAGUUUCCUCUCUUAUCUGAUAUUUUUCAUUUUUGGUAAUCGGAGCACUAAAUUAACAAACUAACUGAUAUUGUGCCGAUAAUAUGCUACCUGUUUCUACAUAUCAUCCUUGGCGGCCUUGCAAUUUUUAAAUUAUGGAGUUUAGAAGUAGAAACCACAUGGCGCAUCACGAAGAUAAGUUUGUUUUUUUUUUUGGUUUUAAGUGGAAUGUGCCUUCAGAGAGUUCAUAUCUUUGGAAUUAGGAGGUACAUCCUAGAAUUAUAUAUAUUGAAACUUGAAGAGGCCAGCUGGCCCAAGCCUGAGCUUGGUCCAAUAUCUAAAACUCAGGUUUUCUGGUUGAUCUUUUGCAUGGUAAUUUUGCAAAACUGCCUCAUAUUGGUUUGCUUUUUGAGCCAGGGAGGUUUGAAACAGAUGUAUCCUGGUUUAAUUUUGUUCAUAUACUGGUUAAAAUUUGGAGAUGGAAACUUUUAGGUCUCUUGUCCAGCAUCUAGCUUUUGCCUGGGCUUCCAAUGCUUGCCGUGAUAACAAAGUUGUAUUUCUACAUUCAUUGCAUUGGUUAGAAUUUUAUUAAUAUUGCAUGUGCCAAAAAUGCAUGAAUCUCCAUUCUAUUCUGAGCUAACGGAGCAACUAUAAACCACCAAAUAGUGGUGGUAAGGGUGGCACAGAUUAGUCUCUUUCAUCCAUCAUUUGCACAUGAGGCAUGUUAUAAAUUUGAGCUUGUUCUACUCAUAUGACAGUUAAUUUGUUGAAAUUUACUAUCCUAUUGCUCUUUCACUUGGACAUCUAUUUUUUGAGUUAGAUUGAUGAGAAUGUAUCCUGGUUAUUUGAUGAAUUACAUUUUGCUGUUCUGUUAGUUCAACUUGUCAUUGUAUGGUGCUGUAUUUGAGUUAGUUUGGUAAGUAUACAUGCUAGUUAUUUGUCGAGUUUUUUUUCCAAAUCCUGCUAGUUCGUUCUGCUAUACUAGACAUCAUUGUUUGAAUUAGAUUAAUGAGUCCAUAUCAUGCUUAUCUGCUGAAUCUUGUUUUGCUGUCUUGCUAGUUCUGACAUCUAAUUUUCUGUUAGUUAGAGUAUAUAUGCCGGGAAUUUGUCGAAUCUUGUGUUUCUCUCCUGGUAGCUCAGUUUGUCAUCCUGGACAUCUCUUUAUUUUGGAGUUAGAUUGAUGAUUAUGUAUACUGGUGGUUUGUUGAAUCUAACUAUGCCGCCCUUCAGUAUGCUAUCCUAGACACUUUCUUUCAAUUAGUCUCUGUUCCUCUCUCGCCAUUCAGUUUGCUAUCCUGUGCAUGUACUUCGAGUUAGUUUGCUCAUAUGUGCUGGUUAUCUGUGCAUGUACUUCGAGUUAGUUUGCUCAUAUGUGCUGGUUAUCUGCUGAAAACCAACUCAAUCUCGACCCUUUAUCCUCCGGCCUAUACCAUUGUGAUAAUGUAAGCCCACAAAAAGAGAGCUAGUAACAUUGGGAAGGGUGGCAUGGAUUUGAACUGUUGUGUCGACCAUGCUGUACAUAAAUUUAUCUUUUAGCCUUGUGCUCAAUCGACUCAUAUCAUUGUUGAAUUGCUAAAUCUCCUUUUACCGUCCUUCUAGGUUUUCAUUGUAGACAUCUAUGUUUGAGCUGGAUUGAUGAGCAUAUAAUCUAGUUAUUUGCUAAUCUUAUUUUGCUAUUCCUGUUUGCGACUCUAGACAUCUAUUCAUCUAUGCAAGUUAUUUUGCUGUUAUUUGCCUAGACAUCCAUGUUUGAGUUUGGUGAGAUUACAUGCUAAUUAUCUGCUAAAUCUUAUUGUGUUGUCGUGCUAGUUCAGUAUGCCAUCCUAGACAUCUAUUUAUCAGUUAGUUUGCUGAGUUUGUACGUUGGUUAUUUGUUGAAUCUUAUUACUGUAUUGUUAGUUUGGUUUGCUGGUUUGCCAUCCUAACAUUUUUCUUUCCAGAUAGAGUAGUUCAUAUGCUAGUAGUCUGCUGAAUAUUUUUGGCUGUCUUCUUAGUUUAAAACCCUAAACCCUAACUUGCAAUGCUCUAAAGUCUUAAACUCGCAAACCUAAUGCCCUAAAAGGCUAAAACUCUUAAGAGAAGAUUAACUGAAUGCCCCUCUAAUGAGUUAUAAUUGCACAGAUGCCAUCUUGAAUUUUGAAGUAUCACAUAUGCUCUUCUAACUUGUAGCAAAACUAACCUUUUUUUCAAAAAUGUCCAUUGAGGAUUUCACUAGACCUACUUGGAUAAGCCAUGACCGACUUAAGAGGGCUAGCUGUUUUAAAAAAUAGGUCUUACCAGACCGGGCUGCCUACAAAGGUUACGCCACAAAUACAAAAUUUUCCAUCCUCUUUCUUUACCCUUUUGCCUCUACAUUCGUACGUUCAUUAGGGCAGUUGAGUCUGCUUAUUUGAAAGCAAUCUUGUCAAAAUCUUCAACAAAUCUAGAAGCACUGCAUCGAGUUUGAUCUUCUCCACGCUCUUUCAAAAAAUAUCUCCCCCAACCCAUCAUUUGUCUUAGAUAAUUGGCGGAAGAUUCUCGUUUUCAAGACCUUGUUAGUUCUAGGGAUUUUGAGAGCCCAAACAGUUGAAUUUUGAGAGCCUGAACAGUGCACCAGUACCUCCUUGACAGGACUGUUCAUGAAUCCUUUCGACUUUUUUAUUAUUUAAAUCUUUUUGGAAGUAAUUGAAUUUAUAGUUUUUAAUCAAUAUGUGAAUUCAAGUAUGGACUCUCAAUGUUUAAUCAAUUUUAAUCAAUUUAAAAAUUUAGCCCGUAUGAAGAGACAAAUGAGUGAGAGAGAGUUGGCCAAUGUGGCCAAGUGGGAGAUUGUUACCAUAUGGUGUGUCCACAUUGGCGGGUUAUGAUUAAACUCGAUCCACAUAAGAUGUGGAUCAUGAUUUAUCCUAAUAAGUUUAGGAUAAGUAUAAAACUUAUAUGUUUCUUAUUAGUUAAGAAACAUAUCUUAUAAUGGAUAUUUAUUAUAUGUUAAUAAAUAUCUCAAUCCUUAUCCUAAUCUAUAUGAGAUUCAGGAUAUUUAGGGGUUCCGUUAUUCUAUAUAUACGCCCCCGUUUUCUCCCGUAGGAACGACGGAAAAAGAAUACGAUCUAAUUCGAGAAUUCACAAAAAUCUUCCUACUUCUCUCUCUUCUUCCUCUCUGGGAUUUCCACCUACGUUCCCGGGGUUUUAGGGUGUGGACAUAGGAGAGGACUCUGGUAGCCCUCUUCGAUUGGCAUCCGUGACGUAAGGCAAUCCGUUCCGUGACGUAAGGCGUACGCGUGGAAGAAGACGAGAAACGUGUGAGAUCCAAAAGCAUCGAGACAAGGACGAUUCAAGAAGGCUUGUAAAACGAGCAACCCGAUCCGAUUUCGGUUCCCGGAUACGUUGGCUAUCCGGUUUGUAAGUUUCCGCUGCCUAUUAUUUCUAACAAAUAGGGCAAAUGAAUUAAAAUAAGGGGACCAAACCUAUGCAUUAGGGGCCCAAAGGUCGAUUUCAAUAAAAUGGGCCGGCACGCUUGGCCCAGAGACUAAUGGAACAACCAACGAGCCACCAUGAUUAAUUUUGACAUGGGCCUUACUCAUACUACUAUUGAAAAGAUUGAAUUCCUUAAUGGACUGAAAAUACCAUGAUCCAAGUACNUUUUGUACUGUAUGCUUAUCCUAAGCUGUUUUGUAAUGUUUGCUUGUCCUGCCAUAUUCUUCUAUGUGUAACUAGUAACAUAAAUCUAUGAUGUUUUAAAGUGCGUGUUGUGCCAUAAAUUUGUGUUGUUUUGUAAUCUUUGUUUUUCCUGUCAUGUUCUUCUAUGUACAAAUAGUGUCCAAUCUGUUGAAUGCCGUGGACACUUGGAUAAAUGUAUAAUGUAAGAGUUGAUAGCUAUUAUUAUUGAGGUAAGGAUAGUUAUCAGUAGUGCCAUAUAACUUGCUUCAUUCACUCAAUGAUAUUGUCUUUCAGGGAAAUGCCAUAAAAAUAAGCUAGAACUAAAGUAAAAGCUAGAAAAGAAAGUGAGGUGGAAACUAAUUCGUUUCUUUUUGCCUCUGAUUACUAAAGGCCAAUUUGCAUAAAAAAUCCGCUAGUUUUGGGCUUUUGCAAAAUCGGGCCACCAUUUUCGUUUUUGCAAAUUCGGUUCGCUUUUUCAAAAAAGAUGACCAAAUUAUCCUUAUUUCAAAAUGCAUAAGAAAUACAUGCAUUAAUUGUCUUAAAAAAUAUAGCUGACAAAUUAUUACAGUUACUUUUUCUUGGAAAAUGAAAUUCUCAUUAACAUACAAAUAAAAAACUUCAAAUAAUAAAAGUAAAAAAGAAAAUAAAAUACACCUUAAAUUGUGCAACAUUGUUCCAAAUUGUGCAAUAUUUCUUCCAAAUAAUGUAAUAUUUGUGUAAACAGUGCAAUGUUUGCACAAUUUAUAUAAUGUUGUAUAAUUUUUUAUACUAAAUUACGAAUAAUAUAGUAUACUACGUGCAAAUAAUAUAACAUAUUACAAUAUACUAUAAAAAUCAUGUAUUAUAUGUAUAAACGGUGAAUAUUUUGCACUAUUUGUAUAAAUAUUUACACCAUUUGCAUAGAUGUUGUACUAUUAUGAGAAAAUGUUGCACAAUUUAGAUAUUAUGUUGCACUCUUUCUUUUUAAAAAUUAAAAUGUAUUGUAUAUAAAAUAAAGUGUUAAAUUUUUUGGAAAUGACAACUAUUAAGCCAUAAUUAUAUGUACCUUUCUGGAGAGAUUAGAAUUCUCAUUUAAUUAAGAUAAAAUAAAAAAUAAAAUAUCAUUAAUACAAUGAAAGAGUGCAAUAUCUUUUUAAAGAGUGCAACAGUCUCAAAUAGUGCAACAUUCUCUUCCAAAUAGUGCAAUAUUUAUGUAAAUAGUGCAAUAUAUGCAUCGUUAAUACACAUAUUGCAUGAUUUUUAUACAAAAAUACGAAUAAUAUAAUAUAUUACGUGAAAAUAACACGAAAAUAAUAUAACAUAUUAUAAUAUACUAUAAAAAUCAUGCAUUAUAUGUAUAAACGAUGAAUAUUUUGCACUCUUUGUACAAAUAUUUACACUAUUUGCAUAGAUGUUGCACUAUUAUGAGAUAAUAUUGCACCAUUUAGAUGUUAUGUUGCACUCUUUUUUAAAAAAAAAUUAAGUGUAUUGUAUAUUAAAUAUAGUGUUAAAUUUUUUGAAAAUGACAACUGUUAAGUCAUAAUUAUAUGUACCUUUCUCGAGAGACGAGAAUUCUUAUUUAAUUAAGAUAAAAUAAAAAAUAAAAUAUCAUUAGAGUCCAAUAUCCUCUUAAAGAGUGUAGCAUAGUCUCAAAUAGUGCAAUAUCCUCUUAAAAAGUGCAGCAUAGUUUCAAAUAGUGCAACAUUCUCUUUCAAAUAGUGCAAUGUUUAUGUAAAUAGUGCAAUAUAUGUAUCGUUAAUACACAUAUUGAAUGAUUUUUAUACAAAAUUACGAAUAAUAUAAUAUAUUACGUGGAAAUAACACGAAAAUAAUAUAACAUAUCACAAAAUACUAUAAAAAUCAUACAUUAUAUUAUAAAUGGUGCAUAUUUUGUACUAUUUGUAUAAAUAUUUAUACCAUUUGUAUAUAUAUUGCACUAUUAUGAGAGAAUAUUGCACCAUUUAGAUGGUAUGUAUUGCAUGAUUUUUAUACAAAAUUACGAAUAAUAUAAUAUAUUACGUGAAAAUAACACGAAAAUAAUAUAAUAUAUUAUAAUAUACUAUAAAAAUCAUGCAUUAUAUGUAUAAACGAUGAAUAUUUUGCACUCUUUGUACAAAUAUUUACACUAUUUGCAUAGAUGUUGCACUAUUAUGAGAUAAUAUUGCACCAUUUAGAUGUUAUGUUGCACUCUUUUUUAAAAAAAAAUUAAGUGUAUUGUAUAUUAAAUAUAGUGUUAAAUUUUUUGAAAAUGACAACUGUUAAGUCAUAAUUAUAUGUACCUUUCUCGAGAGACGAGAAUUCUUAUUUAAUUAAGAUAAAAUAAAAAAUAAAAUAUCAUUAGAGUCCAAUAUCCUCUUAAAGAGUGUAGCAUAGUCUCAAAUAGUGCAAUAUCCUCUUAAAAAGUGCAGCAUAGUUUCAAAUAGUGCAACAUUCUCUUUCAAAUAGUGCAAUGUUUAUGUAAAUAGUGCAAUAUAUGUAUCGUUAAUACACAUAUUGAAUGAUUUUUAUACAAAAUUACGAAUAAUAUAAUAUAUUACGUGGAAAUAACACGAAAAUAAUAUAACAUAUCACAAAAUACUAUAAAAAUCAUACAUUAUAUUAUAAAUGGUGCAUAUUUUGUACUAUUUGUAUAAAUAUUUAUACCAUUUGUAUAUAUAUUGCACUAUUAUGAGAGAAUAUUGCACCAUUUAGAUGGUAUGUAUUGCAUGAUUUUUAUACAAAAUUACGAAUAAUAUAAUAUAUUACGUGAAAAUAACACGAAAAUAAUAUAAUAUAUUAUAAUAUACUAUAAAAAUCAUGCAUUAUAUGUAUAAACGGUGAAUAUUUUGCACUCUUUGUACAAAUAUUUACACUAUUUGCAUAGAUGUUGCACUAUUAUGAGAUAAUAUUGCACCAUUUAGAUGUUAUGUUGCACUCUUUUUUAAAAAAAAAUUAAGUGUAUUGUAUAUUAAAUAUAGUGUUNAAGGCUUGCCCAUCUUCGAGCAGGAAGGGGGCGCCGCACGGGCUUUACGAAGAAAAAAGUUUUGUCCGUGACAGUUGGUAUCAGAGCGAGGAUUAUCAGAGCGAGGAUUAUCAGAGCGAGUUCGUAGCUGGGAGCUAUGUUGUCAUCAGACGUUGUCAUCGUCGAUAUAGCUGCUGAGCCUUCGUUGCUGACCAAGCGGGAAAGGUGCAAGGAGUCGCAGGCACUUGAGUAGGAGUCCCUCUCCUUGAAGUACCGUGCGGGGCUGCAGAAGGAUGUUACGACGAGCGAGAUGCGUAAGAUGUGCUGCUUCAGGACAUCAGUGCCCAGGUCAGGUAGGUCAUGGACCUCGCGACGAGGGUGGCACUAUCCGAGCAGACCGAGAGUGAUCAUGGUAAGCCCCAAUGGCGAGCUAGGCCAAAGGUGGGGGAGUGUACCGUGAUAUAGGGAACGCAGAGAAGGUCAGCGCCUUGUAUGGUUCCGAUGUGUCGGGGUGAGCCGACAAAGGAUCCAACUCUAACAGCCCUGCAGCUUGGCGAGGAGGUGAAGCGCGGGAAGGUUGAGGACCUCGAGGAGGAGGGCCUGGGCAGUGGUGAGACUGUCGAGUCUCAUGCGGCGUUGGUGCGGUCAGCGCCCAAUCAAGGUGCAAGUCAUUCUGUCAAGCGGAAGUCUGAGGAGUCCAAGGGCGGUGAGUUCUACAACUUGUUGGAGCGCAUGUGCGUGUCGCGAAGGACAUGCACACUCAGGGAGUUCGGCGUUUUGACAAAGUGCGCGUGCGUGUCGCGGAGGACAUGCACACUCCGGGCGUUCUGUGACUUGGAGGUACACCCGUGCGUGUCGCGGAGGACAUGCACAUCCGGUGAGUUAUAUUGCUUGGAGGAGUACGCGUGCGUGUCGCGGAGGACAUGCACAUCCGGCGGAUUCUUCGCAUAGCAGACUCGCUGGUACAUUUGCUCAGAGGAGCGUGGCCCAUGGUGUUGGUUGCAGUAUGGACAGUUUGCAGCUGCGGAGAAGUCGUGGUAUCGGAGUUCUAUAGGGACGGUGCGCACAGGGUGCGGCAUUACCGUGGCAAUCAGACUUGCGGUUCAGACUAAUCCGAGGGUGGACUGUGUUCCGUUCAGCAAUCAUCAUGAGGGUGGUUUCCCUAGAGUUGGGAUUCGGCAAGUUGCGGGCGAAUUGAGACAAGGCGUCCGUUGGGCUUGAACUUGGCCGAAAGCUUGAGGUGCCGUGCAGCAGCAAGUAGCCGAAAUGCAAAGCAGUCGGGUGGCAUGACUAGAGUCCGUGAUAAAGUCAGUAGAGUGCAGAGUAGUCGAGGCCCGUUUGUUCCGACGAAAAGACUUGAAAGCUUGGUGUGACCAUGGGGGUGCUCGACGUUGUGCGAUUGUGGAGGCAUUGGGGUGGCGAAAGUGAUUUGCAGUGGGCACAGGUUUGGCACUACCUGAUCGGACCGAGAGCGAUUGAGGUGAACCAUCAGAGGCGAGCUAGGCCAAAGGUGGGGGAGCACCACGAUCCAGGGGACGAAAAGGGAGUUCUGCUGCUUAGCAGAGUGCGUGUGCGUGUGCGUGUCGCGGAGGACAUGCACACUUCAGGCAUUCGUCGGCUUGGCAAGGUGCGCGUGCGUGUCGCGGAGGACAUACACCCCCGGCGUGUUCUGCAGCGUGACGGAGUUCGCGUGUGUCGCGGAGGACAUACGCACCUGGCGUUCUGCAGCGUUGGCGAAGAGCGCGUGCGUGUCGCGGAGGACAUGCACACCCAGAGGAGUUAUAAGGUUGGCUACUGGACUCAGGGAACUUUGGUUAUGUCAGGGCGAAGUAGGCGCGCAGGCCGAGUAGCUUUGAUGGCGAGGACCAAGUUUUGGUGGAGUGGCAGUGCGAUCUUGCAGUCCGAUGGGAUUUGAGUUCUGGUUCCGCAAAGGAGUUAGUGUGGUGCGAGCGAGGCGCCAAGGCUGAAAAGCUCUGACUCAGGGUGGAACAGGAUUCGUGUGUGAGGCGUUUCGUCGCGGAGGACGAUGGGCUUUACAGAAGCGUUGUUGAGUGGACGAACUCGAAGGCAGGUCAGUGUGGCUUGAGAGGCCAAGGCCGUGGGUGGCUCUGAUCAGAGGUCUGGGAGUGGUUCUGCUGACAACGAAGUUGGAGCAUCGACGAGGGCGUCGAUGGUUCAAGUGGGGGAGGAUGUCACGGGUCGAUCGUUGGGACUCGACCGUGACGCUAUUGAGGGCCAUAUUUGGUAGUCAUUGAGUUGAUGAAGCUAUGGAGUUGCGGAGUUGAAGAGUUCCGUCAGGUUGGAGCCGCUGUCAAGUCUACGGAGGCAAUUCUCUUGAGAGCCUGAACAGUGCACCAGUACCUCCUUGACAGGACUGUUCAUGAAUCCUUUCGACUUUUUUAUUAUUUAAAUCUUUUUGGAAGUAAUUGAAUUUAUAGUUUUUAAUCAAUAUGUGAAUUCAAGUAUGGACUCUCAAUGUUUAAUCAAUUUUAAUCAAUUUAAAAAUUUAGCCCGUAUGAAGAGACAAAUGAGUGAGAGAGAGUUGGCCAAUGUGGCCAAGUGGGAGAUUGUUACCAUAUGGUGUGUCCACAUUGGCGGGUUAUGAUUAAACUCGAUCCACAUAAGAUGUGGAUCAUGAUUUAUCCUAAUAAGUUUAGGAUAAGUAUAAAACUUAUAUGUUUCUUAUUAGUUAAGAAACAUAUCUUAUAAUGGAUAUUUAUUAUAUGUUAAUAAAUAUCUCAAUCCUUAUCCUAAUCUAUAUGAGAUUCAGGAUAUUUAGGGGUUCCGUUAUUCUAUAUAUACGCCCCCGUUUUCUCCCGUAGGAACGACGGAAAAAGAAUACGAUCUAAUUCGAGAAUUCACAAAAAUCUUCCUACUUCUCUCUCUUCUUCCUCUCUGGGAUUUCCACCUACGUUCCCGGGGUUUUAGGGUGUGGACAUAGGAGAGGACUCUGGUAGCCCUCUUCGAUUGGCAUCCGUGACGUAAGGCAAUCCGUUCCGUGACGUAAGGCGUACGCGUGGAAGAAGACGAGAAACGUGUGAGAUCCAAAAGCAUCGAGACAAGGACGAUUCAAGAAGGCUUGUAAAACGAGCAACCCGAUCCGAUUUCGGUUCCCGGAUACGUUGGCUAUCCGGUUUGUAAGUUUCCGCUGCCUAUUAUUUCUAACAAAUAGGGCAAAUGAAUUAAAAUAAGGGGACCAAACCUAUGCAUUAGGGGCCCAAAGGUCGAUUUCAAUAAAAUGGGCCGGCACGCUUGGCCCAGAGACUAAUGGAACAACCAACGAGCCACCAUGAUUAAUUUUGACAUGGGCCUUACUCAUACUACUAUUGAAAAGAUUGAAUUCCUUAAUGGACUGAAAAUACCAUGAUCCAAGUACUUACAUUGUAGAUGUUCGUAAGAUGAUAUAUUUGAAUAUCUUACGAAGGGCCUUGAUCUGUAAGGAUUAAGCUUUAUAUUUGCAAACUCAGGCACAAGUAAGAUAUAACAACCAUGGCCGAUAAUUACUUCAAAAUUAUUUCUAAUGGCUUCAACAUGUGGGUCAGAAUCCACUUUUUACAUCAGAAAGGAAAGUUUCUCCUUUCUAGUAGCAGGUGCUUUUAGAGGGUAGCACUGUGUCACGAGUCAAUCGUUGGGACUCGACCGUGACGCUAUUGAGGGCCAUAUUUGGUAGUCAUUGAGUUGACGAAGCUAUGGAGUUGCGGAGUUGAAGCGUUCCGUCAGGUUGGAGCUGCUGUCAAGUCUACGGAGGCAAUUCUCUAGCAAUGGCCCAUGCCAUGGCAAGGAUUUUGGUACCGCAUGCGGGGUUUCAAAACGUACCCCUCGGUGGGCACCUUUGUACCCCCGGGGUGCCAAAGGGCUGGAUGUCUUGCAUGGUAUAUAGGAGGAGGGGUGGACACUGCGUAGAGUGGCCCGAUAAAGAUGUAUUGAUAUAGUAUUCUCUUAAGGAAGAUGAUGAACUCUAAGAAUUGAUUUAUUGAUUUAGGAGAUUUUGAAUAUAGUUCCCUAAGUAGGUGUAUGUGUGAAAUUUAAUAUUUGAAAUAGGCUUAGAAAAAAUGAAUUACUAGUACAGAAAAUAUGUUGGGUUUGGAGGAUGAAAAUUUGAUCUCUGGUGUUAGAGGGUGCAGGGAGACGUAUCGUCCAUUAACCCCGAUUACGAGGUGUUUUUCUUUUUCAAUUAGUGUUGUUAAGCGGUCCAAUUUGAAGCAACACUAACUUCUUGUUAAAACUCCCUCAUUUUUUGUUAAAACGUUAUGUCUUAAGAGUGGAGCUUGUAAUUUGAGUUUAGUGUAUAUUUUAACCAGUGUAAUGGUAUUGCUUGUUUUGAUAGCAAUUUAUGCAUUGAUAAAUGUAUGUGAGAGGGUAGCAAAUCUGCCACAUAAAUUUGAGCUUUUUUGUACUGUAUGCUUAUCCUAAGCUGUUUUGUAAUGUUUGCUUGUCCUGCCAUAUUCUUCUAUGUGCAACUAGUAGUAUAAAUCUAUGAUGUUUUAAAGUGCGUGUUGUGCCAUAAAUUUGUGUUGUUUUGUAAUCUUUGUUUUUCCUGUCAUGUUCUUCUAUGUAUAAUGUAAGAGUUGAUAGCUAUUAUUAUUCAGGUAAGGAUAGUUAUCAGUAGUGCCAUAUAACUUGCUUCAUUCACUCAAAGAUAUUGUCUUUCAGGGAAAUGCCAUAAAAAUAAGCUAGAACUAAAGUAAAAGCUAGAAAAGAAAGUGAGGUGGAAACUAAUUCGUUUCUUUUUGCCUCUGAUUACUAAAGGCCAAUUUGCAUAAAAAAUCCGCUAGUUUUGGGCUUUUGCAAAAUCGGGCCACCAUUUUCGUUUGCAGAUUCGGUCCGUUUUUUUAAAAAGAUGACCAAACUAUCCCUCUUUCAAAAUGCAUAAAAAGUACAUACAUUAAUUGUCUUGAAAAAUACAGCUGACAAGUUAUUAUUACAGUUACUUUUUUCUUGAAAAAUGAAAUUCUCAUUAACAUACAAAUAAAAAACUUCAAAUAAUAAAAGUAAAAAAGAAUGAAUGAAAU